UUUUUUUUAAGAAAUGCAAGCCUGCAAGUAGUGCAAGGAGGAUUUAAAAGUUUGAUGGCUCUUUCUCCCUAGUAGAGAGAAUCUUCUUUCUCAGUAAGUACCAUUUAGCAGGUUGUUGGUUUUUUGUUUUUUUGGUUUUUUUUUGCUUCUUUUGUUAUCAAAAUCCCAUUCUUUUCAGAAGGUGAAAAAUAUCAUGUUUUAACAUUAGAUUUCCAAACUUCCCUGAAAUACACAUUAGCAGAUAACACCCACUAAAAGUGAAAGCUAAAUAUAGAUAUAUAAUAGUGCAUUGGCAUGCAAACUAGAUGUUUUAUCAUUUCUUAGGCAUAAAAUAUACAUACAAAAUAUUCGCUAAAAAUCUUCUAUUAUUUUUUAAGAACUCUAUAGACACAUUUGCCUCUGAAGUGCUCCAAGAGGAUCUCCAAAAAAUGAACUGACUGAUGUUCUCAUGUUUCUUCUACUGAUUAUUUUUACUUGUUUGUGUGUGUGUGUUUUCAUUUACUUGGUUUUUAGAUUGUUAUAUUGCCAUUACACAAAAGACAGAGUGAAAGCACAAAAGUAAGUAUAAAUAAAAUAUGUCAAACUGAAUAUCAAAAGUCAAGAAUUAGAGCUUAUACUAAAAUAGCACUCUAGUUGGCCCAACUCCAUAGUAUAGAAUCUACUUUUACUCUGGAAGAGGUUACUUGUGUAUUUCCGUUGAAAAUGCACCCUUCCUGUAACUUGCCUACCUGGAUAAGCUUUAAGCAGGGUGCCAUCUCUCUAUGUGCACACGGAAUCACCACACUCCACAGAAAUAUUUCCCUUUUAGAAUUACAAAACUGUAGGCUGAUAGGUAAUUCAGGUUAAAUUUCUUUCCUGGGCCAUUUCAGGUUGUGUUUUCAGAUUUGUAUUUUGGGAGCUUUCUUCUAGCUUCUGUUAAAGGCACUCAACUGCAUAUCUUUACUUAGAUAGCAGGUACCUUCAUAUUAAUUUUGGGUCUUCUUGCACAGAUUCAGGAAUGCAAUUUCAUUGUGAGUAGGAAUCAGACCCAAGAAUCUGUGGUCAUCUGAGUAAACUAAUCCAUGGGAUGGAAAAAUGGUCCCACACCUUGCAUCUAGCAUGCUUCUGGUAGAGAUGUUCAUAGAUUUUGCAGCGAUAAAAAGGAAUUUGACCCAGUGGUUUACAGAGAUUGAUGCUGAGCGUAAACAAUUGUCAUAUGGAAUUCAUGUAGCAAUAUUUAUCAUUAAUAGGACUUCUAUUCCCUCAUAAACUGCUGCAGAAGUAGAAAAGCACCAUCCCAGGGCUAUGUUGUCACUAAGCUCAUAGAAGUCCACUUCUGUCCUUUCAACCUAUUUUCCAGCUAUAUAAGGACUUGCAAUAUGGAAAUGUUAGACCAGGCUGCUUUCCUUACAUCUGGGAAGGAAACUCACCUACCUGCUCAGGACAGAGAGAGCUAUGACACACUCUCCCUCACCUAGUCUGGAUGACUGGUUUGCUAGGUCUGUGGGACAAACAACCAUAUACACUGUGCUAUACUGCUGCCAAUAUAUAAAGUAGAGGUGCCUAAAAGGCUCACUGUAGGAGCAAUGGUUCACUGCACUAGGGAUUAAUGUUUCUAAUAGCACAGAAUAUAGACACAACAACAUGACUGGAUGCCUUUUUUCCCCUUUUAAAUUUGCUGGGUACAUAGAGCAAAGGAACAUAAAAAAUGUUCAGACGAAGGUAGAUCUAAGAAUGUGCAUCUUAACUCCAACAGUUUCCAUCCUCAAAUGGCUAGAGAAGAGAAGGAGGAAAUCUCACAACUGAGUGCCCCACAUCACUCUCCCAGCCCCCAGCAGUUCAUAGCUCAGGGACUUCCUGAGCUAGAAAAAGUUGCCAACUUUGUUGGAGCAAUAGUGGGUAAAAUAUGCAGCGAUGACUCUUCUGUACCAGCAGGCUUUGUUUCACCCCAAGCGUUAUGCCAAACUAGUUGUAUAUCAUCAUGAAGAAUAACUGCAUUUGCCCAGAGUUGAUUUCCUAUGGCACAUUUUACUUAGAUACUUUCUCAACACCCUCACAAAUAUGCCAUAGAUCUAAAGCACAAUCUCCUUUUCAAAAUGAAUGGGUCUGAUUACAGGCGUAUUCAUUUUGUAAAAGGUACAAAAGGAUACAAAUGUGCCUUUCCAUCUCAUAUAAUGUCAAAGUAAGACCCUCUUGCCCUUUUAUUUCAAUCCCUGCAAUUUGAAAAUAAAAAAAAUGACUUGAUUAUAUGUUUUUUACCAUUAAGUGUAUAAUUGCUUUUGUGUUUUGACAUUUAAUUCCUCUUACCAAAAUACAUGGUAGGAAUUAAAAGUCAAAUCUUUUAUGUAUUUGAUGUACAGAUCCCUCCAUGUAUUUCAAUGAGAGAAAUAGAACAGUGAAACCUUAAAACAGGUACGGUAAAGCUAUCUGAAAGUGAAGUCGCUUUUCAUAUUGGAAAUCUGUGGACCCAGUCCUGCCCUUCCUUAUCUGGGCUGAAGGCUUUUUGAAAUCUCUGGAAGGUGCAGAUGAGUCAAAACUGUGUAAAACCUGGAGGACUUGACCUUUAAGAUAGAUCUGGGAUUAUACUUGCCCUGAAGGGCAGAUUUUAAGAAUGUGGUCCAGUCUGAAAAUGACUUCUGAAAGCCAAAGGACAGGAGCUGGCCACAAACUCGAGGGCACUGUCCUGGCACGGGAUGGAAGCUGUGAAGAUAAGUCCUAGUGGGGAGGGCUGGGAGCAACCAGGGCAACAGCAGGGCAUCCUGGAGGGCUCUGAUGUUGAGAGAAAAAUCACUCUCUACAAGCCAAUGAGAAGGCAUGGACACAUGCAAGGGGAGAUGGAUGUCGCUUAUGGAUGUUUCAUGCUUUUUGUCUCCCCUUCAUAGCAACUUAAAGUUUUUCCCACUUUUUAAGGGAAGUCACAGGGCCAGCAGCCUUGUCUUUCCCUUCUACCAUUCUACUGCUCUUUUUCCUCUCCUUCUUACAUGUAUAUUCUUUCCUUCCUUUCUGCCGUAAGAACUUCUCUCUUACCCUCUGCCACAUUCUUCCCUCUUUCUCAUAUUCUUCAAGCUUCCCUUUUUCCUCUGUUCUUCUGUUUCACAGCCUGUGCCCUUUAACUGAAUUGUCUCUGACUUCCUGCUUUCCUUUAUGGCAUGACAUAUUCUUCAUCUUUAUCUUUAUUCCUGUUCGUACUCAUCCAUAACCUACAUGCUGAGAUUUCCUCUGGCUGUAUUUUCUCCUUGUAGUCACUCCCUUGUGAUUUCUCCCCACGUGGUUAAGUCCAUCAGGACUUGAUCCUACAACCAUAGCUGUAUACACAGUUUACCAUGAUUCAGAUUUAUGGCUCCUAGUGCCAACUGCGAAAGUUUUCUAAAAUCCAGUAAACACAAGCUAGUUAGAAACUCAGACAGCUUGGGACAAGCCAAGCAAAGAAUGGUAGUGGCACAUAAGGAUAACUAAGAGUUCAGCAAUGUUCUUCUCUAUGUUAAUAUUCUCAAUUACAAAUUCUGUCAAGCUUUCACUGUGCCUAUUCACCAUAACCACUUCUCUAGGUGGAUACAGUCAUGGUGAAAGACCCAUGUCAUCUUUCUAUUUUUCCCAAAGCCAAGGGCAUCACAGUUUUCUUUCUUUUAUCUCAGAAAAGUGUCUUCAACACAGGUAAAGUAAUACACAAGAUGACAAAAAAAAAGAAAAGUAGACAGAGUAGGAAAGACUUGCACGAAAAGGAAGCAAGUCAGAUAGAGCACUGCAGCUGAGUGCAUCUCCACACACUAAUUGUAGAGUUACUGUAUCUCAUAGAGACACGCUUAGGUUCCCAUAAUGAAAGCAGCUUGCAUUGUAUGGAUGCCAAGUAUGUGGAUGCUUGAAGUUGUCUCCCUUUGGCCAUCACAUUUGCACUUUUCAGGGGAAAUGAAACAGCGUGGGGCUGCUCUGGUUCAUCAUUUUCAGGGGACUUCUUUCUCAGUAGCUCCAAAGCAUCUCGCUGCUGAUAGGACUGUGAGCAGUAAGCAUUGUCCAGGCAUGUUUCCAGGCAUUUUUCAGAGCAUAUUUACACACACAUGCAUGCAAACACAUGCACACACUUGCGCAGUUUUUCCAUCAUUGUUUACACAUGCAAAAAUUUCAAAUUAAAAAUUAAGAGGGAAUUGAAAGCCCAUGACAUGUAAAUCACCUAACUGGCCCCAAAUCAUACAUUCAAGCAAGGUCAAUAGUAGGCUUUACAAAAACAGAAGUGGAGCUAAUGCUAUUUAUGCUAAAUGAGUAACUGCAGUAAUAAAUAUUAUAGUGUUAUACCUAUGUAGGCCAGUUUUUUAAGAACUCUCAUUAAUAAAUCUUAAGAUCAGGUAUUCAGGAUAUCUUGAGUUUGUUCUUGCAGGUAACUACUUCACCAACAAGGUGGGUGCCAUUUAAAAAUCUGUAUCUUUGCUUGUGGGUUCUGUUUUCCAGUUUCAGGGUAAUAACCAACUCAAAGAGAUGUUGCAAAGUUAAACACUUAAAAAAAAAAAAUAAAAAAAUAAAGUCAAGUAAUCCUGAAACAGAAAUGUGCAAGAUAGGUGCAAAUCAUUGCUUUCUCUCAGCUCAGAGUGACCAAAGUCUUCAAUGGAUCAACUUGGAUCUGAUAGCCCUUCAGAAUAUACUUGCAUGCAGAUAAGAGUAAGUAUUAAUUAAUGUCAAACAGUUACAGAAUUUACUGCUUCUUAGCCUCAAAGGGAGCUGUUUCUCAGGAUGUAGAAUUUGGGUAAGAUGUUUUUUUGUUCAGCUGGAAGCUUUAUGGGGCAGAUUUCAUCCAUGGUCCAGAAGUAAAUGUCAGUUCCCUUGAGAUUUUGGAAUUUGAUGUGUGUUCAGCCCCAGAAGUCAGGUGAUGAACCACAAAUUCAGACUCUCAGAAACCAAACACUUUGGGCUUCUUAGAGGUUGGGUUUGUUGAUUUUUUUUAUCUUUGUUUUAGUUUUUUUUUUUAAUUUUGAUGGAUGAUGUUUUGUUCUGCAGUGAGUUUUAAUGUGUGCCGCUGUGGAACAAUUUCAAUUGUCGAAAACAACAACAAAAAGCAAUAUUUCAAUAUUUCUCAAGAAAAGGCUUCAAAGGUUUCAGAUCUUUUUAAAAUGUUUCUGCUUUAUUUUGACGUGGCAUAAAAGUUUUGUAUGCAUUCUCGCAUCCGCUAUUGUGACAGCUGUAUUUAAUGAGUGCAAAAUGAUCAGAAAAACAUCCUUUACUGUGGGUUGCCAUUGCCAGCAGAUGACAGGAGAGAGGCAGUACUAUAAUAAGAGAAGCAAUGAAGUUGUUCAUACUACUACUGAUGAGGUAUUUCUAACUCAAAUGUCUAGGUGUGCCUUUUGAAAAUAAUACAUUGGUCACAUUACCUGAUAGUUUCAUCAGAUUAUGUUUCCGAGUGUGUUUUGAAAUAAAACUGUGCAUCCUUUGCCUCAAGUCAUGAAGUGGUUUGUUGCCACAUAUUAUUUGUGGAUAACAGUCUGUUUCCCUAGGAUGAAGAAGAAAAGGUCCCAGUCUUGUCUAUAAAUAUGGGCCUUUCCAUCAAUUUGAUGCUAAGUAGAUCUAGAGUUAUGCUAGAAAUGAAACAUUACACAAUAUGUUUGCUUUCUGUUACAAAUGCAUAUUUAAUAUCAGAGUAUUUUAGUCCAAAUUGGAGAGAGUAUAAAAGUAAAUCUAAAUGGAUUUGAAAGGCAGAGUAUUUCUUUUUUUUCAAAGCUUUGUCAUUCCUGACUUCCUCUGGUGAUUGUUAGCUUAUCGUGCCUUUGUACAGGAGAUCUAAGUAUUUCAUUUUCUCUUGUGUCUCCAUAUGGUACCAUUUCCCAGAUAGUCUUUCUUUGGUCACAAGAUGACAGUGAGAAUGGAUUGUCAAACUGGACCACUAUGACACUUUACUCUGGGGGAGAAAAUCCUGUGGGUGUUUAGAAGCUUUACUGAAUGUUAUAUUUGAUUAACUUAUCCUUCUACUGACAAAUAAUUAGGUCAGCAAUUAAUUUCAAAAUGCAAAUGUGCUACAGGCCUUCAUGUUUUACGAAAUUCCCUUUGUCUUUAAUUUUUACUUAUGUUAAAGUCUUAAUGGAUUUAGCUGGGUGAAGGAACAAAAUUAUGUUUUCUAAUGCUUUAUUUACUAGGCUGAGUUGGACUUUUUUAGCAAAUAUUGACUGCAAAUGUUUGUUCAGAAAUGAUCAUGUGUGGUGGAAUUUAAUGGAAUAAGAGAACAGAAGAGUAAUGAUGAACCACUCAUUUAAAAAUAUAUAUUUUUUUCACACUUCUGCUGCAAAACGUUUAUCUGUCUUCAUGGAUGCAGAACAGAAAGACAAACCAGAGGGUCAGGAGCAGACUGUGGUAGCAAAGUCAUUAGUACCUGCUUAAGUAGUCUAAAAAAACAGGGUAUAUCAGAAAGAAAAACACGCUUAAUAUUGCUACAAGUGUGGCUCAAAGAAACCUAUCUACCGGCCUAUCUCAGGGACUUUAAUAUUAAACAAACACAGAUUAAAGGCUCAGUCCUUCCCAGCAGAAGCUCAUGGGAGUUUUCUGUUGACUUUAAAGGAGUGAGGCCUUUAAGUCUUAAGUUUUCUCUGAUUAAAAUCACACAAUUUUUUAGAAAAUAUUCCAAAUAUGCAGUUGUAAACAAACCCAAGUACCUAGCCUGAUAUAAAAUCUAAAAGAAUUUAUGUAGGUAAUGAACUUAUAUUAAAAUUUGCUAAUGGUUUAUUUGCUUGAUUGAUUUAAGUCAAGAAGGAGAGAAUCCACUGUGGAAUCAAGUGAGGUUUUUUCCUUACAAAAUUUUUACUCAUUUUAAAAUUAAAUCUUAAACUGCCCAUGAUAAUCUGCAUUUUUUCUUCUGCUUAAUUGUGUAAGUAGUUUUGGACAAAAUGAUAAUUAAAAAAGAUUGAAAGCCACAGUAUUUCAUUUUUUAUAUUUGAUUUUUCAUUCAAAUUAUAUAUUUACAUCACUCUUUCUUAAAUUACGAAUUCCAAUAGCUACAUGAAAAGAAUUCAGGAAAGAAAAAUAAUAAAAAUAUUGCAUUUUUAGGAUAUUUCCAUUCUGGAAAGAAAAGCAAAAGAAAAUAUUGUAUGGAGUCAAGAUCACCUGCCCCAUUUAUGCAGACAAAGCUUUGUUUCCAAUCUUUCCCAGAGGAUUAACCCCAGGACCCUCUUUCCAUCUUAAGCAGAGUCUGAAAAAUUUUUAAAGUUUCAAAAGAUGAGAGAAUGGCACAAGGCAUAAGUUUCAUUCUGAAUGAGAGAGAAUCUCUUUCUCUCCAGAGUUGUGGUAAAGAAAAUCAGAAAUGUAACUGGAUACAAGAGAGCAAAGCUGUUGGGAACUCUGCAGACAGAAGUAUCCUUGUAAGACAUGGACAAUGUUCAAGCUGCUCAGCUGGGCACUGUCAUGGGCCCAGUUAAAGCACCACAUUUUAAGAAAGAUGCAGCUUACAGAGACUGUCCAAAGGUUUGGAGUAGGAGUGAUCAGAAGUCUGGAAAAUAUGACCUGCAAUAAAAUCUGGACUGGGAUGAUUUCAUCUUAAGAAUAAACAAAUGAAAGUGGAUAUAAACAAAGACUUCAAAUCUGAAAAAAAAAAAAAAAAAAAAUCUGCAAAGUCAAGGAUGAGUUUGUGUUUGAGGCCUACAAAGAAACAACUGAAGGUAGCAAACCUAUAUUUGCUACCAGGGAGAUUCAAGUCAGACACUCAUAGUCUUUCUAUUUGUAGAGAGUUUGGAGCCCCUCUCACUAAAAAUCUUUGAAAAUUAGUUAAACAAACUACUGUCCAAAGUAACAUAAAUAUAGAUUCUGGCUGACAACAAUUUGUUAUCAGUUACUACUCUAGUUAUUACUCUGAUAUUUUUAAUUGACUUGAAGAAGAUGAUGCAACUCCCACUUGUGUGGAAGUAUAAAAUAAACUUUUGAAUGAAUCUAAGGAAAGAAACAUAUUAUGAAUGCCCACCACAGCUGCCAUUAUGAAUGGUAGCAAUUGAAGAUGUGGUUUUUCUACAGGACAGCUCAACAACAGUGAGACAGAAUGAUUUUCCUUAUCCUGCAAAAUGGAGAUGUUGUAUUUCCUUGUGGAGAUCAAAAGAGCAUUUCCUUUAGGAGUGCCAAGCAAUGGUGUAGGUCUGGUAACCUUCACGUAACCUAAAGAAGGAAGGAAGGAAGGAAGGAAGGAAGGAAGGAAGGAAGGAAGGAAGGAAGGAAGGAAGGAAGGAAGGAAGGAAGGAAGGAAGGAAGGAAGGAAGGAAAAAGAAAGAAAGAAAAAGAAAGAAAGAAAGAAAAAAAGAAAGAAAAAGAAAGAAAAAGAAAGAAAAAUCCUAUGCUCCCCAGCUGCAGGCAUCAUGGAAAAGUGCCUCAGGCCCCACACAUGUGACUUCACAGCAAAACCUAGAGCCAGCCCUGAGGGGUCUAGCACAGAGAGCAAAGUAAUGUGACUGUGAUUACAACAUGUGGAAAUUAGAAGCCCUCUUGUUUUAAGAAGAUGUACUAGGCAUAAACAUGCCUGUUGAUGUCUUGAUAUGGAUUUCUUGGACUGGACUUUGACAUCUCUACAACUGUGGAUCCUGAGACAUAUUUAACAUCAACAUAAAAAAGUUAGGAAGUUCAGUGUCUUUUAUCUACUCCCAAAAGCCAAUGAAGAAACAGAGCUGUCUUAUGUCAGAUUUUCCUUCUCCUUCACUUGAAAUAAGAAAGUGAGUGAAACAAGAAUAAUCCCCACCAUUUUAAAAGUGAGGACCACCCCAGUCAUAGCAGAAACACUUUUCUCGUUUGACAGAUGAAGCCAAAGAAUUGUUUUUAAGCAGUUUCCAUACCUGUGCCAUAGGCUAUUAUAGUUGACGUCUAUCCAUCCCAUACCAAAGGGCAGCAUAAUUUAUCUUGUAUCUCAAAUCAGGUAUAUAUAUAUCUUCGCCUGUUUGUAAUACUAAUUAAAAUAGUAAUCAGGAAUCUAAUUCUGUAAAUAGACCAAGUAAUGGUCAUCAAAGUUCAAUGAAAUAAGUUUUAUGUCACAAAGCUCAGUAGUGUUUGCAAACCCGUGCUUUCUGGCUGACAUUAUAAAAAUGACCUUCUUUUGAAAUGUCUGGACUUAAGGCCAGCCUACAGUGACCAGAGAAUAAAUGAGGACAUGGAGAAUAUUUGCCCCAUUUCUAAUGUUGUAGUUCUGUCCUUCGUAAUCAUUAAAGAUUGGAUAGGCCAUAUGGCAACUUCUGUCUUUCUUUAAACAGAAAAGGAGUGGGAAGAAGCAAAUAAAUAUACACAAGAGAAAGAGGGAAAAAGAGAAAGAGAAAAGAUUGCCGCAGCACUCUGACUUUCCUUCACCAAAGGUAAAAGACCAAAUGGUUCCUUUGCUUUGCUAAGGGCUAGCCCAUGGGCUAGGAUCCUGUGGUGCUGAACACUCAGCCUGUCACUCUGCUGCUGCAUGCCAGGGGGCUGUUUGCCAUGCUGUUGGAGGAGAGGGCUCUUGCAGGGAGCUGCUCCUCUUCAGAGCAUCUUCCCAGGGGGAACACUGGUUUGCAUCAGCGAGUAUUUAACCCACCUGUGACAGAUGCGGUGCAGAGCAGUGGUACUGAGUGUAAUAAGGCAGCUGAAUAAGGUUUGAUGAGAGUGGCUGCAGCAAUGUGCAGAAACAUCCUUCAGUGGAGCAGCUAGAGAAUACCAGCUGAGAGCUAGGCCUCACCUGUAAGGUGAAUAUAAAUCUUAUGCUGGGUUAUGCACCAAAACGCCCCAGAGAUCCCCACAAAUCCGUGUAAAGUGGGUCAGGAGACAAGUGCAACAAGCUAACAGAGGAGUUAUAUGAAUCUCUUGCAUCAUGUCUGCUGCUGAGAGUCGUGCAGAAAUUCCUGUGCCAAAGGCACUUUGCAAAGAAAAUCAGAGUGUGGCCUUUAUACAGAUUGAAGUCUCUGAGGAGGAAGUUGUAGAGUAACUUGAGAAACUCAAGUGCAGUAAAUCACCACAACCGGAUGGUGUUCAUCUGGGAGUUCUGAGGAGAAAUAAAGUGAGAAAAAGCCAAGAUACUGACAAGGGGAUGCCUUCUUCCCUUGAAAAAUGUAGCAGCACAAGAAGGCUGGGAAGGCCUAUUAUGUUGCCUGUCUUCAAAAGGAGAUGAGGAAAAUCCUGGGAAUUGCAGAGCUUUGAAGUUUACCACAGUUUUAGGGAGCCCAAUAAACCAGUUCCAAACAGUAGCUAAAGAGACAAUUUGUUGGACAGGAACACCCUAUGAGGGUGUUCCUCAGUCUUUCAAAUGACUGAGGCUGGUACCAGGGGACAAGUACCUCUCCAUAUGACUGGAAUAUUUUGAGGAACCAUUGGAGAGGCCUUCAUAGGGACAGGUGAGAUAAUAGGGACUUGUCAGAAGAGGGUGACCAUGUGCAAGUGUUCCAAAUAUUCAAAAGGUUUUGCAGAGGUCACUAAUAAGCAAUUGUUAUAGUGGAUAGUAAGAAAUAAAACUGAGAAAAAGAUCUAGAAGAUGAGGUGUUACUGGAAUGAAUUGCAAAUCAAUCCAGAGAAAGUAAAUACAUGAACAUUCCUCUUUCUGGUAAGGGGAAAUGUAAGCACUGAGCAGUGGGUUAUUAGGACUAGUUUUAUUAUGAAUAAAAAAGUCUAGAUCCCAAAUCCUAAUGUAUUUAAAUUAGAGUAUCCAGAGUCUACUCCAGAUCUAAAUCCAAGUCUCACAUGUGGUUCCUAUCAUAAAAAUGGACGAAACAGUUCCUGGAUUCAAACUUGUAAAGCUCUGAGGUUUGCAUACUCCAUAUCAAGCCCACUUGAUAGAUACAUAUGAAAUACAGAGUGUGGGUAUCUAUGUGUAUAACAUGCAGAGGAAACAAUUUGAUGCAAACUCAAAA